rnacentral:tRNA from 2 species
CAGAAAGUAGUUUAAAUAAAACUCUGCCUUUGGGAGGCAAAAUUCCAUCCCCUGGCUCUCUGA